rnacentral:lncRNA from 1 species
CAUGGAUCCUGCUAGACUUUAUAUGUUUGUUUGUUUAAGAUUGGGUCUUACUAUGUUUCCCAGGCUGGCCUUGAACUCCUUGGAUCAAGCAGCCCUCCCACCUCAGCCUCCUAAAGUGCUGGGAUUACAGGUGUGAGCCACUGUGCCUGGCCUUGCUAGACUUCUUACUUCCUAAAAGCGAGCUUCCUUCUGAAAACAUUGUAUUUGACUGAAUGAAAACAUUGAGCAUGGAAGUUGGGCUCAUUUCAGAUCUGGCUCUGGGUCUUCCCUUCACUACAGGAAGAGCUCAGGCUCAGCAUGACCCAGGCCUUGCUAUGUGGAGAAGCUGUGUCAUGAUAAAGUCAGUCACUUGUUAUUGACAGCUACGAGUGGCAGCGGACAUUCUGGUUAGGAACAAAGGCCUUGGGGUCAGCAAACCUGGGCCCAGAUUUGACUUUUCCCACAUAUUAGUUGUGUGGCACUGGACAAGUUAUUUUACCAAUGCUUAGCUUCCUUAUGUAUAAAAUGGAGAUCAGAAUAGUGCCUACCACUUAGCAUGUUUUUGAGAAAUAAAAUAAGUUAUGUAGAACCAUAUGCCCCACUUCCCCAGCUGGGUAUGUAAGUAAUAUAAUAUUCCUAGAUUAGGAAAUUUCAUAAUCCUGUUUCUUCCUUGUGGACUCCCUUCCGGGGUCCAGCCUGGAUACCCAGAAGCACUUAUUCAGUCUCAAGGGUCAGUCCUAGAUCUUCUCACCCUGCUGGGUGUUCCAGGCUCCCCAGAUGCCUUCUGCUGUAAUCACAUUGCUGCCAGAGGCUGAUGGUGCUGCUAAACCUACGGCAGCUUGGCGAGCCACAGCAGAGCCCUUGCCACCGUCCAUGCUGCCGUGGCUCUUCAGGUCAGCAGGGAGGCUGUUUCUGGGUUGCCAGUGUAUAGGUUUUUUUUUGAGACAGAGUCUUGCUCUGUUGCCCAGGCUGGAGUGCAGUGGCACAAUCUCAGCUCAUUGUAACCUCCGCUUCCUGGGUUCAAGCAAUUAUUCUGCCUUAGCCUCACAAGUAGCUGGAACUACAGGCAUGUGACACCACACCUGUUUAAUUUUUUAUAUUUUAGUAGAGAUGGGUUUCACCAUGUUGCAGGCCGGUCUCAAACUCCUGAGCUCAGGCAAUCUGCCUGCCUCAGCCUCCCAAAGUGCUAGAGUUACAGGUGUGAGCCACCAUGCCCAGGCACCAGUGUGUAGCUUUUUAAUAGAACUUCCCGUGGCUGCUUGGGUUUACUUUGGGUCAAGAGCAAUAAUAAAUUCAUAUAUUACCCCCAAUGUGCUUGUGGAGAAUAAUGGGGAGGACACUUCAGCUAUAAGCGUGAUCCGGCCUAAGGUAAAAACGUUUCAAUCAGGUCUUUGUGCAGGUGGAGUGUGGCUUUGUUGUUUGAAAAGAUUAAUAAUGACAGGCCAGCUUUCUAUGCACUGAAGGCCUAUGGAGGAUGGCUCUGAACACACACAAAAAAAUAUGAACAACAACAACAACAAUUUGUCUCUAUCUUGCUUAAAUGCAGCUAGGGGAAUAAUUAUAGAUUGCAUGGCAUUUAGGCACAAUGUUUCUUUUCCUUAAGAUUGGGGUUUGUGUGUGUGUUGCAAUCCUUGACCACCAGAAGAAUGAGGAGGCACAGCUUUGCCUCACACAGAUGGCUGGUCUUGGAAAAAGACCAGACCUGGAGUACCAACACCUCUUCUGGGCUAUCUUCUGGGAAUGCCUCAGUGUUAUCCUAGACUGAAUCUCCUGAACAGACGGGCCGUGCUGGUUGGCCAACACACGUCUUUUAACUACGUGGCCAAAGUCUUUGCCACUCACUCUGUGGUUAAAACGUAAACAGAAGGUCAAAAGGUAGGAUCACAGGCCAGGCAUGGUGGCUCAUGCCUGUAAUCCCAGCACUUUGGGAGGCUAAGGCAGGAGGAUCAUUUGAGUCUAGGAGUUUGAGACCAGCCAGGGCAACAUGGUGAGAUCCCAUCUCUACAAUAAAUUUUUAAGUCACCCUGGCCUAGUGGCAUGCACCUGUAGUCCGCACUACUCAGGAGGCUGAGGUGGGAAGAUUGCUUGAGCUUGGGAGUUCGAGGCUGCAGUGAGUUGUUACCACGCCCCUGCACUCCAGCCUGGGUGACAGAGUGAGACUCUGUCUUGAAAAGAAAAAAAAAAA